UGAGCAAUCUGCCCUUCUCUUCGGAAUAAGCGUUGGAAACGACGUCUAAUGCCGAAUACGACCUCCUUUCACAUGAUCGGAGGUGGAAAGCUCCGGCGGAGAAGGAUGAGCUCGCGGCCUAUCAGCUAGUUGGUGUGGGUAAUGGCCCACCAAGGCGACGACGGGUAGCCGGCCUGAGAGGGUGACCGGCCACACUGGGACUGAGACACGGCCCAGACCUCCGUACGGGAGGCAGCG
rnacentral:rRNA from 1 species